rnacentral:rRNA from 1 species
GAUGAACGCUGGCGGCGUGCCUAAUACAUGCAAGUCGAACGAAAGCACCCGGAGCUUGCUCUGGUCAAGUUAGCGGCGGACGGGUGAGUAACACGUGGGUAACCUGCUCAUCAGACGGGGAUAACAUCCGGAAACGGGUGCUAAAACCGCAUAAGACUUCGAACCGCAUGGCUCAAAAGUGAAAAGCGGCGUUGGCUUCUGCUGUAGGAGGGACCCGCGUUGCAUUAGCUAGUUGGUGAGGUAACGGCUCACCAAGGCAACGAUGCAUAGCCGACCUGAGAGGGUGAUCGGCCACACUGGAACUGAGACACGGUCCAGACUCCUACGGGAGGCAGCAGUAGGGAAUCUUCCGCAAAGGGCGAAAGUCUGACGGAGCAACGCCGCGUGAGUGAAGAAGGUUUUCGGAUCGUAAAACUCUGUUGUUAGGGAAGAACAAGUGCGAGAGUAACUGUUAACGCCUUGACGGUAUCUAACCAGAAAGCCACGGCUAACUACGUG